CCCCGAGAUGUUCUGGGCCGCACGCGCGCUACACUGAACAGUUCAACAAGUCUUAACCUUGGCCGAUAGGUCUGGGUAAUCUUUGAACGCUGUUCGUGAUUGGGAUAGACCUUUGCAAUUAUGGGUCUUCAACGAGGAAUUCCUAGUAAACGCAAGUCAUCAGCUUGCAUUGAUUACGUCCCUGCCCUUUGUACACACCGCCCGUCGCACCUACCGAUUGAAUGGUCCGGUGAAAUCUCGGGACGGCGGCUUGGUCGCUUGCGUCCGACUGCUGAAACUUGAUUAAACCAUAUCAUUUAGAGGAAGGUGAAGUCGUAACA
rnacentral:rRNA from 1 species